UGCAUGUCUCUCAGGGCUAUUGAGACAUUUACUGAAUUAUCUGAGAUGUGUACACAGCAUUUAGUCUUAAUUGUCAGGCAUCCUGGGCCUCUUCUGUUGCCUUCCCCUAGCCAUCCCAGCCGUGAUCUUUUCUUGCCUGGUGGGCACCUGCAUCAUGCCAAUCCUUCACCCUCCCUCUCCAUCUUGCCCCUGACCCUGACUCAACUUCUUCCUUGUUCUCCCUUCUGAACUAGGAGCCUGAGCAACACCAGCACCUCCUGUGGGUUCAGACCCCCACCCUGAGUCCUUACAGUUCCACAGCCCACCCUCACCCAACAACUGUUUUUUUUUUUUUUGAAACAGAGUCUCGCUCUGUCACCCAAGCUGGAGUGCAGUGGUGAGAUCU
rnacentral:lncRNA from 1 species